rnacentral:rRNA from 1 species
ACGCCUUAUACAUGCAAGUCGAACGAAGUAGCAAUACUUAGUGGCAGACGGGUGAGUAACAUGUGGGUAUCUUCCCUUUGGUGAGGAAUAACACGAGGAAACUUGUGCUAAUACCUCAUAAGUCUUUACGGAGAAAGCUUUAUGCGCCAAUGGAUGAGCCCGCACUUGAUUAGUUAGUUGGCAGGGUAAUGGCCUACCAAGACUUUGAUCAAUAGCUGAUUUGAGAGGAUGAUCAGCCACAUUGGGACUGAGACACGGCCCAAACUUCUACGGGAGGCAGCAGUAGGGAAUCUUGCACAAUGGAGGAAACUCUGAUGCAGCGAUGCCGCGUGAGUGAAGAAGGCCUUUGGGUUGUAAAGCUCUUUCGUCGGGGAAGAAAAUGACUGUACCCGAAUAAGAAGGUCCGGCUAACUUCGUGCCAGCAGCCGCGGUAAUACGAAGGGACCUAGCGUAGUUCGGAAUUACUGGGCUUAAAGAGUUCGUAGGUGGUUAAAAAAGUUGGUGGUGAAAUCCCAGAGCUUAACUCUGGAACUGCCAUCAAAACUUUUUAGCUAGAGUAUGAUAGAGGAAAGCAGAAUUUCUAGUGUAGAGGUGAAAUUCGUAGAUAUUAGAAAGAAUACCAAUUGCGAAGGCAGCUUUCUGGAUCAUUACUGACACUGAGGAACGAAAGCAUGGGUAGCGAAGAGGAUUAGAUACCCUCGUAGUCCAUGCUGUAAACGAUGUGUGUUAGACGUUGGAAAUUUAUUUUCAGUGUCGCAGCGAAAGCGAUAAACACAC